rnacentral:rRNA from 1 species
CUCGUAGGUGGCCAACUAAGUCAGACGUGAAAUCCCUCGGCUUAACCGGGGAACUGCGUCUGAUACUGGAUGGCUUGAGGUUGGGAGAGGGAUGCGGAAUUCCAGGUGUAGCGGUGAAAUGCGUAGGUAUCUGGAGGAACACCGGUGGCGAAGGCGGCAUCCUGGACCAAUUCUGACGCUGAGGAGCGAAAGCCAGGGGAGCAAACG